CGGCUGCAACCGCGACCACCGCUCCGCCUCUGGCCAACAACCGCCAGGAGGAGGGUGCAAACGAGUUGCCGCAUGGUCAAGGAAGGACGCAAAGGUACAUCAAGAGGCAUGAGUAGCAGAAGGGAACAAGAGACGCAACAAGAAAUAAACACGCUGAGGAUAAAUAAGAAAGGACGUAAAACAGGGGAACAAGAGACGCAAAAAGAAACAACUAAACUGAAUAAAUCUCAUGUUUAAGGUUUAA